GGAGUUAGCCGGUGCUUCUUCUGCGAGUAACGUCACAGAUGUAAGGUAUUAACUUACACCCUUUCCUCCUCGCUGAAAGUGCUUUACAACCCGAAGGCCUUCUUCACACACGCGGCAUGGCUGCAUCAGGGUUUCCCCCAUUGUGCAAUAUUCCCCACUGCUGCCUCCCGUAGGAGUCUGGUCCGUGUCUCAGUCCCAGUGUGGCUGAUCAUCCUCUCAGACCAGCUAGGGAUCGUCGCCUAGGUGAGCCUUUACCUCACCUACUAGCUAAUCCCACCUGGGCUUAUCCAUCAGCGCAAGGCCCGAAGGUCCCCUGCUUUCCCCCGUAGGGCGUAUGCGGUAUUAGCAGUCGUUUCCAACUGUUAUCCCCCACAAAUGGGCAAAUUCCCAGGCAUUACUCACCCGUCCGCCGCUCGUCAUCUUCAAAAGCAAGCUUUUGAAAUGUUACCGCUCGACUUGCAUGUGUUAGGCCUGCCGCCAGCGUUCAAUCUGAGCCAGGAUCAAACUCUGA
rnacentral:rRNA from 1 species